GUGAGGGUUAGGGUGAGGGACAGUGUUAGGAAACCAGCGGACCGUGUGCCGUUCACACUUCGUCAGCCAGAGGCAAUGAGUCAUGUUCAGGAAGAUGUUCGCUUCAAUCAUCGCCCAGGAAAACAGAGUGUGCUGAGCGGCGUGUACUGAUACCAGUCGGGUGAUGUGUCCUCAUUGGUGGGGGUGUGUUUAUGGGCUUAGUGGAAGCAGUCAGGCAUCGUUUUCUGAAACGGGCUUGGAUUUUAAGUGCCUUUAAGGAGCCCGUUUUGAAAGGAUCUGUGUGGCGAAUCCUGUGGAGUCGACACCGCUAUGACCGCAGGUGGAAGGGCCUCAGGUUAAUGCUCCCAGGCGGCCGGCCCGAGACCCGAGACGUUAGCUUCCUGCCCUACCCUCCCUCUCCACAGCUCCCCAUCACCGGUUCCCGCCUGUGCCUCUACGAAGACGGCACUGAGCUCACUGGAGACUACUUCUCGAGUGUUCCUGACAACUCGGAACUCGUGCUUCUCACCUCAGGCCAGACCUGGCAAGGCUCGCUCAAAGGACCGCCGGCUUUUCUGUCUGUGACUCUUCUGGUGGCAGAUGUGAGUGACAUCCAUCACUUCCUCCACGCGUUCCACAAGCCGCAGGCGGGGCUCAUCCAGGCUGCCCGGCAGCUGCUCUCUGGGGAGCAGGCCCCGCUGCGGCAGAAGCUGCUGGCCGACCUCCUGCACACUGUCAGCGAGAACACUGAGGCCGAGACCAGGGCCGAGGAUCCGCCGUGGUUUGAAGGUCUGGAGUCUCGAUUCAAGAAUAAGUCUGGCUACCUGAGGUACAGCUGUGAGAGCCGGAUCCGGAGCUACCUGAGAGAGGUGAGCGCUUCUGCCUCCACGGUGGGCGUGGAGGCUCAGGAGGAGUACGUCCGGAUUGUUGGCCUCAUGUGCCGGAAGCUCAGGGCGGAGCAGUACCACAGCAGCUACUUCGACAGAGGAGCCCAGGCGGACAGCCGGCUCUGCACACCCGAAGGCUGGUUCUCCUGCCAGGGUCCCUUUGACGUGGACAGCUGUGCAUCCAAACACUCCAUCAACCCCUACGGUAACAGGGAGAGCCGGAUCCUCUUUAGUACGUGGAACCUGGACCACAUACUCUUUUCUGGAACGUAAUGAUGUCCUUGUCUCUGCUUUGUGAAGACAGAGGUUUUCCAGUGCCCUUCAAGUGGCUCUAUCACUUUGGGGACAGGUGGCUUUGCACAUAUGUAGCACAUCACAGGGACAGCUGAGGCUCACUUUCCACCCCUCCUGGAUGCACCCCUGUCCUCGCCGGGGAACCGCUCUGCUGCCAUUUGCGAGCGUCCCUGUGAUGCCUGUUUACACAGGCCUUUACCCUGUAGGUGUGAUUUGAAAUGGACGUAAGUGGUGGCCCACGUGGUGACUCUACGCCGGGCUUUUCCGUCCCAUGUCGCGCUCACGGGGAUGCGUCUGUGGGUUUCGUGCACUCGUUUCACCAGGUGCAGAGUGCCUCGCUCUUUCAAGAGAGUAUCAUGUGAAUAUCCGUUUCCAUCCCGGUAGGCGCUUCUGGCCGCCCACCUUCCGCUAUGACAGAGCCUCCUGGGCUGAGCGUGCACGCGGGACCGACCUGCGUGGCCAUGUGGGUGUGGCCCGUGGACUGGCAGCGCCCUCAGCGUGUGGGGACUGGUCAGGAAUGCAGAUUCUCGGGCUCCGCACACCAUUACCCGGGUGCUGGGGAUUGGGGUGCACGUUCAGGUGAGGAGGCUGUCCUGGUGCCCGAGCUGAGGAGCUGCGCUCCCCUCUCGGCAGGGUGCUGGGUCUCACCCCUUCGGUGUGCACCGAGCACCCAGAGACGAUUGCCGGGUUCUCCAGGUCAUCUGUCGGCUACUCUCCGCGCCCCGCUGGGGCGUGGGGACAUCGAUCUGGGGGCGGUCCCAGCACUCAAGGGGCGGAGCAGGCCAGCCUGGAGCAGAGUGCAGACGAAGCAGCAGAGGCCGGAGCAGGGUCGUCUGACACCCUGGUUUCAGAUGCAUUUUCUCUGUCUCAAUACAGUACUUCUGUGUUCUGGCAAAUCGGCCGGCUUCUCCGCACGCGUCUGACUUCCGGUUUUCUGUGCUAUUUCAGGCUCGUUUCUCCCAGGAGGGUCCUGUGGGCACUAAAUGUUCUUUGGUCUUGGAAAAUGUCCCUCUGGCCUCUACUCCUGCGUGGUCAUUUAGCGAUACUGAGUUCUGGGCGGUGGGUGUCCCACCUUCAGAACUUUGAAGACGUGCUGACACUCUCCCGGCGUCUGCCCCGGGAGAAUUCUGCCCACAGCCUGUUCUCUGCCUUUUCUACAGACAUUUCAGAUUUUCCCUUUCUCUUUGAACAUGGCGUGUGUGUGGGUUUAGAUCCUUAAAUUCUGACCGGGGCUUGUCUUUGUUCUGAAGACAAGUUUCUCUUUCGUUUUGGAAAACACCUAAGUAUUUUUUAGUGACCCCUUCUCAGCUUCUCUCUGUCCGGCUUCUCUGGAGCUCCCGCUGGCCGCACGUUGGACCUUCUCGUCCUGUCUCCCUUGUGCUGUGGGGGUGGUGUCGGGGAGCCCUCCGAGGCCUCUCAGCGGUCUGUUUCAGAGUGCUCUAGCCCACGUCCUCCGCGGGGGUCCUCGCCCUUUGCGGUGUGCUCCUUGUGACAUCUGUGCUUCUGGAUUCAGAGUCCACCCUCAGUGGGGACUGUGUUUUCUGUGCACUGGCUUGUCGUGUCCCCACAGGGUGGUUUUGCAUUUGUUUCUGCCGGACACUCACGGAAAGCCAGGGCUUCCCGUGGCUCUGAAACAGCGGAGUAUUAAUUUCUGGCUUGGGUCCCGUCCCCUGUGGCAGGUGCAGUCGGACUGUGGGUCUGUGUGAACGGUGAGCCGAGGGUCCUGGGUUUCCUGGUGACUGUGGAAAUGGUCAUGCUGUUGGUGCGCCCGAAUCACGCGUCCUGGGGCCUCUACCUUGUGUGUCGUCCUCACCCCUCCCGCUGCUGACUGAGGCUCGGCCAUGUGGCUCCAGCACACAGGACGCCAGCGGACGCCUGAUACGUGCUUGCGCGCUGGGGCUCCUUCUCUUUGAGUGCUGGCGUCAGUGGGGAGGGCCCUGGCCUGGCCUCCUUGAGGGUGAAAGGCGCCAUGGCGAGCAAGGCCGCCCCCAGCCAGCCCUCCAGCAUCGCGCAGCCACAGGAGCGGUCGGGGUCAACGGGCGCCCCCCUGUUCUGGGGCUGGGCAGGCAGCAGUAGGUAGAGGGUAGGGUGGCUUCUCCUCCCUCCCGGAGCCCCGGGCGCCCCUGCCGCUUCCAUGGCUGGACUGGGGUCUCGGUCCCACCUCCCUGGCCCUCCCCUUGGGCCUCUGUCGGGACCAGAGCCCCAGUGGGCUGCAGGAGGGUGGCUCGCCCCUGCGGAUCAAGUGUGGACUUGGGUUCCUGGCAGUGGGGAGCCCUCACCUGCUCAGCUUUGUACCUCUUUUCCCUUUUCUUCACUGUUUCUCCCGUGUUGUAGGGACAGGUGGGCCCAGCAUGCUGCAGUGGCCCUCCCGGCCUUGUUUCUAUUCCUCGUGUUUACAAGCUCAGUUCGCAAGCUUUACCUGUCCGUACGCGGGCUUUGAAUGAAUAGAAAAGAGGCGCACUGUCAUCCCCACGCUGGAGGCCGCCGUUGCGGAGCGGGCCGGCAGGGAGGUGUCCUGGGAGUACUUCUACAGCCUGCUUUUCACUGCACACAAC